GUGCUCGCUUUGGCAGAACAUAUACAAAAAUUGGAACUAUCCUGAGAAGAUUAUCAUGGCCCAUGCACAAGGAUGACAUGCAAAUUCACAUAGAGUUCCAUUUUUUU